ensembl:snRNA U1 U1 spliceosomal RNA
GUACUUACCUAGCAGGGGAGAUACCAUGAUCACGAAGGUGGUUUUCCCAUGGUGAGGCUUAUCCAUUGCACUCUGGAUGUGCUGACUUCCCCAAAUGUGUGAAAUUUGACUGCGAUUUCCGCAAAUGUGGGAAACUCGACUGCAUAAUUUGUGGUAGUGGGGGACUGCGUUUGCAGAA